GGGGAAUAUUGGACAAUGGGCGCAAGCCUGAUCCAGCCAUGCCGCGUGGGUGAAGAAGGCCUUCGGGUUGUAAAGCCCUUUUGUUGGGAAAGAAAAGCAGCCGGCCAAUACCCGGUUGUUCUGACGGUACCCAAAGAAUAAGCACCGGCUAACUUCGUGCCAGCAGCCGCGGUAAUACGAAGGGUGCAAGCGUUACUCGGAAUUACUGGGCGUAAAGCGUGCGUAGGUGGUGGUUUAAGUCCGUUGUGAAAGCCCUGGGCUCAACCUGGGAAAGGCAGUGGAUAACGGAUCACUAGAGGGUGGCAGGGGGGAGUGGAAUUCCCGGGGUAGCAGUUAAAAGGGUAAGGAACGGGAAGAACAUCAGUGGCGAAAGCGACUGCCUGGGCCAACACUGACACUGAGGCACGAAAGCGUGGGGAGCAAACA
rnacentral:rRNA from 1 species